CCCCUUUCUGGGUCACAACUUGAGAGUUUUCAGGACUCUACCAGUCUCGACUAUGGGAGGGAGAGUUAAGCAGAGGCAUAACCAUUCCAUUCCCAGCUUGGGCAGUGGCUAGUGAGUGGAAGGCAAUCUGCUACAAAU